CAUAACACCGGUCCCCGUAUGAUCCCUGAAGGUAAGCGACGUCGACCUUGGUCUGUACCUAAAUAGGUGAUCGCUUGAGAAUACUUGGUGCUGUAAG